GACAUUCCAUUCAUUUUUUUGUUGAUAUUUGGAUUUCGUUUUCAAAUAAAGUCAUCUUGUAGUUAGAAAUCACCUUUAGAAUCAUCAGCCACUGUCCCUACACUGACUCGCUUAUCCGGAAUUGAUCCUCACUACGGUCCUUUAUUUCGAAACGAGGGCUACAUACCGAAUACAAAAUUCUUUAUUCAACAUUUUUAA
rnacentral:rRNA from 1 species